UAAAAAAAGGUAAGCUACUAAGAGCGAAUGGUGGAUGCCUUGACUGGUAAAGGCGAUGAAGGACGUACUAGACUGCGAUAAGCUACGGGGAGCUGUCAAGAAGCUUUGAUCCGUAGAUUUCCGAAUGGGGCAACCCAAUGUAUAGAGAUAUACAUUACCUAUAUAGGAGCGAACGAGGGGAAUUGAAACAUCUUAGUACCCUCAGGAAAAGAAAUCAAUAGAGAUUGCGUCAGUAGCGGCGAGCGAAAGCGCAAGAGGGCAAACCCAGUGCUUGCACUGGGGGUUGUAGGACUGCAAUGUGCAAGAGCUGAGUUUAGCAGAACAUUCUGGAAAGUAUAGCCAUAGAGGGUGAUAGUCCCGUAUGCGAAAAACAAAGCUUAGCUAGCAGUAUCCUGAGUAGGGCGGGACACGAGGAAUCCUGUCUGAAUCCGGGUCGACCACGAUCCAACCCUAAAUACUAAUACCAGAUCGAUAGUGCACAAGUACCGUGAGGGAAAGGUGAAAAGAACUGAGGUGAUCAGAGUGAAAUAGAACCUGAAACCAUUUGCUUACAAUCAUUCAGAGCACUAUGUAGCAAUACAGUGUGAUGGACUGCCUUUUGCAUAAUGAGCCUGCGAGUUGUGGUGUCUGGCAAGGUUAAGCAAACGCGAAGCCGUAGCGAAAGCGAGUCUGAAUAGGGCGCUUAGUCAGAUGCUGCAGACCCGAAACGAAGUGAUCUAUCCAUGAGCAAGUUGAAGCUAGUGUAAGAACUAGUGGAGGACUGAACCCAUAGGCGUUGAAAAGCCCCGGGAUGACUUGUGGAUAGGGGUGAAAGGCCAAUCAAACUUCGUGAUAGCUGGUUCUCUCCGAAAUAUAUUUAGGUAUAGCGUUGUGUCGUAAUAUAAGGGGGUAGAGCACUGAAUGGGCUAGGGCAUACACCAAUGUACCAAACCCUAUCAAACUCCGAAUACCUUAUAUGUAAUCACAGCAGUCAGGCGGCGAGUGAUAAAAUCCGUCGUCAAGAGGGAAACAACCCAGACUACCAGCUAAGGUCCCUAAAUCUUACUUAAGUGGAAAACGAUGUGAAGUUACUUAAACAACCAGGAGGUUGGCUUAGAAGCAGCCAUCCUUUAAAGAAAGCGUAAUAGCUCACUGGUCUAGUGAUUUUGCGCGGAAAAUAUAACGGGGCUAAAGUAAGUACCGAAGCUGUAGACUUGCACACAACUUAGAUUAUUUAAGUUUAGAAUAAGUAGUUUAAGUUGUGUGCAAGUGGUAGGAGAGCGUUCUAUUUGCGUCGAAGGUAUACCGGUAAGGAGUGCUGGAGCGAAUAGAAGUGAGCAUGCAGGCAUGAGUAGCGAUAAUUAAUGUGAGAAUCAUUAACGCCGUAAACCCAAGGUUUCCUACGCGAUGCUCGUCAUCGUAGGGUUAGUCGGGUCCUAAGUCGAGUCCGAAAGGGGUAGACGAUGGCAAAUUGGUUAAUAUUCCAAUACCAACAUUAGUGUGCGAUGGAAGGACGCUUAGGGCUAAGGGGGCUAGCGG
rnacentral:rRNA from 1 species